CCUACGGUGGGCAGCAGUGAGGAAUAUUGGUCAAUGGCCGGAAGGCUGAACCAGCCAAGUCGCGUGAGGGACGACUGCCCUAUGGGUUGUAAACCUCUUUUAUAAGGAAAGAAGAAAUGCAACUUGUAGCAUGAUGCCUGUACCUUAUGAAUAAGAAUCGGCUAACUCCGUAACAGCAGCCGGGGUAAUACGUGGGAUGCGAGCGUUAUCCGGAUUUAUGGGGUUUAAAGGGUGCGUAGGCGGUUUGUUAAGUUAGUGGUUAAACGUCGGGGCUUCACCUUGAUUUGCCAUUAAUACUGUAAGACUCGAGUUCAGACGAGGUAGGCGGAAUAAGUUAAGUAGCGGUGAAAUGCUUAGAUAUAACUUAGAACUCCGAUGGCGAAGGCAGCUUACCAGACUGCGACUGACGCUGAAGCACGAGAGCGUGGGUAGCGAACAGGAUUAGAUACCCCUGUAGUC
rnacentral:rRNA from 1 species